UGGUUUCUGUUUUUUUUCACCCUCCUCGCUCUGCACUCUGCAGUACUCUCUAUCUCUGUAUCUAUACAAUCUCUAGUCUCCAUAGAAACAAUGUUGAGAUCUGCAAUACAACACUCCCUGAGGAGAGCAACCUCUGCUUCUCAACAAUCUAUUACCUGCCGUAACUUGUCUUCGUCUUCUACACCACAUCGUAAAGUCGCCGUCUUGGGUGCCGCCGGCGGCAUCGGCCAGCCACUAUCUCUUCUCAUGAAACUCAAUCCUCUCGUCUCUCAACUCUCUCUAUAUGAUAUCGCCGGUACUCCUGGUGUCGCCGCCGAUGUCAGCCACAUCAACACCAGAUCGGAGGUCAUGGGUUACGUUGGUGAAGAUCAGCUAGCUCAGGCACUGGAGGGAUGUGACAUUGUCAUCAUUCCUGCUGGUGUCCCGAGAAAGCCUGGCAUGACUCGUGAUGAUCUCUUUAACAUCAAUGCUGGCAUAGUCAAAGGGUUAUGCACUGCCAUUGCUAAGUAUUGUCCCAAUGCUCUUGUUAAUAUGAUAAGUAACCCUGUUAAUUCCACUGUCCCGAUUGCUUCCGAGGUGUUUAAGAAAGCAGGUACUUAUGACGAGAAGAGACUCUUUGGGGUGACUACACUUGAUGUAGUCAGGGCAAAGACAUUUUAUGCCGGAAAGGCUAAUGUUAAUGUUGCAGAGGUCAAUGUGCCAGUUGUUGGUGGUCAUGCUGGAAUAACUAUUCUCCCAUUGUUUUCGCAGGCUACACCACAAGCAAACAAUUUGUCUGAUGAAGUACUUACUGCUCUUACAAAACGUACACAAGACGGUGGGACAGAAGUUGUUGAAGCCAAGGCUGGAAAGGGCUCAGCUACACUCUCUAUGGCUUAUGCUGGAGCUUUGUUUGCUGACGCUUGCAUGAAAGGACUUAAUGGAGUUCCAGACGUUGUUGAAUGUUCAUUUGUACAGUCAAGCAUAACUGAACUGCCCUUUUUUGUGUCUAAGAUUUUAGGCAUCUAUGAGAGUUGAAGAAGUUCCAUGGGUGGAUGAGAUGAGAGAUUUGCUUUUUUCUCUUUAUUAAAGCUCAGGAAACACGGAAAAUAGUCUAUUUGUAUGUUAAGGAUUUUGUUGUGAAACACCAAGUGCAAAUUCUUGAGUCUUUUCUUCUUGCAAACAAACGAUCAGGUGAGGCUUGGAAAAAAUGGUGUGGAGGAAGUCCUUGGGUUAGGUGCACUUUCAGACUAUGAAAAGCAAGGAUUAGAAGCUCUUUUGCCCGAGUUGAAAAGUUCUAUUGAAAAGGGUAUCAAGUUUGCCAACCAGAGUUAAAUAAGUUGAUUUAUGUGAAGAUCUGAGUUCUGCAAAAAGUAUUUUAUGUAGAGUUCUGCAAAAAAUUUGACAGCUCUGUGCUUGUUAUGUUGCUC